GAUGAACGCUGGCGGCGUGCCUAAUACAUGCAAGUCGAGCGAACGGACGAGAAGCUUGCUUCUCUGAUGUUAGCGGCGGACGGGUGAGUAACACGUGGAUAACCUACCUAUAAGACUGGGGUAACUUCGGGAAACCGGAGCUAAUACCGGAUAAUAUUUUGAACCGCAUGGUUCAAAAGUGAAAGACGGUCUUGCUGUCACUUAUAGAUGGAUCCGCGCUGCAUUAGCUAGUUGGUAAGGUAACGGCUUACCAAGGCAACGAUGCAUAGCUGACCUGAGAGGGUGAUCGGCCACACUGGAACUGAGACACGGUCCAGACUCCUACGGGAGGCAGCAGUAGGGAAUCUUCCGCAAUGGGCGAAAGCCUGACGGAGCAACGCCGCGUGAGUGAUGAAGGUCUUCGGAUCGUAAAACUCUGUUAUUAGGGAAGAACAUAUGUGUAAGUAACUGUGCACAUCUUGACGGUACCUAAUCAGAAAGCCACGGCUAACUACGUG
rnacentral:rRNA from 1 species